UAUAGCAGCCAUAUCACUCUGCAACUCAAAUGUGGCAACUUACUGAAGCUAAGCAGGUGUGAGCCUGGUUAGUAGCUGGAUGGGAGACCUCCUGGGAAAACCUAAGGUUGCUGCUGGAA
ensembl:rRNA 5S_rRNA 5S ribosomal RNA